GUACUGCUGAAGAGUCCCAUACUAAGACGGAGGAACACAGCUGUCCAGUAC
rnacentral:hammerhead_ribozyme from 1 species